rnacentral:rRNA from 1 species
AACGAACGCUGGCGGCAGGCCUAACACAUGCCAGUCGAGCGCCCCGCCAGGGGAGCGGCGGACGGGUGAGUACCGCGUGGGAACGUACCCUUUGCUACGGAAUAGCCUCGGGAAACUGGGAGUAAUACCGUAUGUGUCCUUCGGGAGAAAGAUUUAUCGGCAAGGGAUCGGCCCGCGUUGGAUUAGGUAGUUGGUGGGGUAAUGGCCUACCAAGCCGACGAUCCAUAGCUGGUUUAAGAGGAUGAUCAGCCACACUGGGACUGAGACACGGCCCAGACUCCUACGGGAGGCAGCAGUGGGGAAUCUUAGACAAUGGGCGCAAGCCUGAUCUAGCCAUGCCGCGUGAGCGAUGAAGGCCUUAGGGUUGUAAAGCUCUUUCAGGGGGGAAGAUAAUGACUGUACCCCCAGAAGAAGCCCCGGCUAACUCCGUG